GGAGGAUCAUUAUCGUAGGGCUUCGGCCCUGUCGAGAUAGAACCCUUGCCUUUUUGAGUACCUUUCGUUUCCUCGGCAGGCUCGCCUGCCAAUGGGGACCACAAAAAACACUUUGCAGUACCUGUAACAGUCUGAACAAACAAACCAAAAAUUAAAACUUUCAACAACGGAUCUCUUGGUUCUGGCAUCGAUGAAGAACGCAGCGAAAUGCGAUAAGUAGUGUGAAUUGCAGAAUUCAGUGAAUCAUCGAAUCUUUGAACGCACAUUGCGCCCUUUGGUAUUCCUUAGGGCAUGCCUGUUCGAGCGUCAUUUAAACCUUCAAGCUAAGCUUGGUGUUGGGUGACUGUCCGCUUCACUGCGGACUCGCCUCAAAAUUAUUGGCGGCCGGUACAUUGGCUUCGAGCGCAGCAGAAACGCGAACUCGGGCCCGUCGUAUUGGCUCCCAGAAGCUAUCUUCACAAUUUUGACCUCGGAUCAGGUAGGGAUACCCGCUGAACUUAAGCAUAUCAAUAAGCGGAGGA
rnacentral:rRNA from 1 species